CCUACGGGUGGCAGCAGUGGGGAAUAUUGCGCAAUGGGCGAAAGCCUGACGCAGCGACGCCGCGUGAGGGAUGAAGGUCUUCGGAUCGUAAACCUCUGUCAGCAGGGAAGAACGGUCACUGUGCUAAUCAGCAGUGAAUUGACGGUACCUGCAAAGGAAGCACCGGCUAACUCCGUGCAAGCAGCCGCGGUAAUACGGGGGGGGGGAGCGUUAAUCGGAAUUACUGGGCGUAAGGGGCUCGUAGGCGGGAUGUCAAGUCGAGGGUGAAAUCCCCGCGCUCAACGUGGGAACGGCCUUUGAAACGGGCAGACUGGAGUGGGUGAGAGGAUAGUGGAAUUCCAGGUGUAGGAGUGAAAUCCGUAGAUAUCUGGAGGAACAUCAGUGGCGAAGGCGACUAUCUGGCACAUAACUGACGCUGAGGAGCGAAAGCGUGGGUAGCAAACAGGAUUAGAUACCCCAGUAGUC
rnacentral:rRNA from 1 species